rnacentral:sRNA from 2 species
CAACGCUAUUGUUGGCAGCCGAUGUGUGGUAUUUGCAGCUCAGCCUCUCACGACACAUGGCUGCUCUGAUCUGAACUUGCGUGUCCAGUUGACGGGCCACAGAAGUACAGCACAACUGACAGAAUUAGACAAUUAGGCUGCCUUCAAUGCACCCCUGCAAGGAGCGAGCCGCCAGUUAAGGCUCCUUCAGGGUGAUCGGAACUUGCCGUUCGGCGAUCCGACAAGCCAGAAGACGCUAAGAAUGUUUCGUCAUGAUCACCUCCUAUUCGGGAGGGACAGACGGCGGGAGCAAGAGGUAUGGCUCAGGAAUCCAGCUCCGUGGAACCUCCUUUUCCAUAAUUGGAAAACCGGAUCGUAACGUAAACCAGCAGACCAUAUGGGGCUGAGGCGGUU